rnacentral:rRNA from 1 species
UACGGAGGGAGCUAGCGUUGUUCGGAGUUACUGGGCGUAAAGGGUGUGUAGGCGGUUCCUUAAGUUUGCUGUGAAAUCUCCCGGCUUAACCGGGAGGGUGCGGUGAAUACUGAGGGACUAGAGUACGGAAGAGGCGAGUGGAAUUCCUGGUGUAGCGGUGAAAUGCGCAGAUAUCAGGAGGAACACCAAUUGCGAAGGCAGCUCGCUGGGACGUUACUGACGCUGAGACGCGAAAGCGUGGGGAGCAAACAGG